rnacentral:lncRNA from 1 species
UAUGUUACCUCAUCCUUAGUCUACCUAGCCACCCCUUUCAACCACUCAUUUGAAGGUUAAAACACCCUCCCAACACAAUAACCAUCUGUUACAUAUCCUCGAUUAUUAACCUUACCAUUUGCAGUUCCAUAUUUCACAUUAUGGUUUACCUAUUUUAGGGUAUUUUUCCUCACUCUUCAACCUAUGUUCAACUUAAUUGUUUCCACUCAUAGUCCUUAAGUGCUCAUUUUAUUCUCCUUGAUAAUU